rnacentral:lncRNA from 1 species
GAUGAUCUCGUAAUUGUUUUGAGAAAGGGACAACGAAAGUUAAAAGGUGAAGAGUGAAGUCCAAUCAAAAUUAAAAUGCGGUUCAUCAAAAAAAUAAAAAAUAAUAAUAAUAAACUUUUUAUAAACAGUUAAGCAAAAAAAAUAAAAAAAUUCAAAGACAACUACCAAAUUUAAAAAAUACAUGAAAAAUUAAAAUUCAAGUACUAAAAUAAAAUAAAAUUACACUUACUCAAGGGGACAAAGUAAAAAAAAAAUAUAAUAAGAAAGGACAAAAAUUUUCAUUAGAAAAAUUAGAUUGAAAAGAAA